UGGGAAUGUGGCUCAGUGCAAAAGUCCUGGGUUCAAAUCUUAGUACCACAAAUAAAAGAAUACACAACAAAAUAACCAGCAAACAACAAAACACUUCCUUAUCCAAAAAAUUGUUUCCCACAUUAACUUCAUCUUAUGUUUGUCCUCACAAAUUGCAGUUGUUGGAAUCAGCUGACCGUAUAUCUCUGUCCUUCCGUAAAACAACAAAUGGCAGCAAGGAAAAGCGCAGUUCACGGCCCCUAAAUAUCGGGAGCGGCCUGUGUCCACCAACGGAUGGACGGGUGAACUUAUAAACAGCGGAGCACCGCCCUGCCGUGAAGAAGGAUAAACUGAAGUCAUCGGGCCGCUGAGGUGCUCCUCGGAGGUUCCUUUUCACUGGCCGGGAUCAAGAGAAUGUUCAGGUGCCAGGCACAAGAAACACUUCGGUGGUUUAGAACUAAAAGGACUCCGUUCAGAGCCAGCCACUCCAAAUCAUGUCCGU